AAGCCGUUAGGAAUAGAACAAGCAAUGAACUCUCAAUGUUUUAACCAUUAAAAGAAAAUUAUUAAAAAUAUGUAAACUUUACUUGGAUAAGCAAAAAGAAAACGAUAUUCAGUUCCCUCAUAUAAUUGAGUUCUAACCCGGAGUCUUGAUCUCUAUUUAUUUUCUCGCUGAUUGGACACUGAAAAAAGAUGCGCAAAAAGUUACCACGAACGCAUUUAUAUUAUGAUGAUCAAUCACUGAUAUCAUUGGAAAAACAAUUAAGGAACAGAGGUGGGUCCUGAACAAGACCAGUUAACCAAACAACUGCCAUCGCAAAAACCUACCGUUAGGGAUAUAAAUAAGUAAUCGACCCUAAAUGUUUCAACCAGUAAAAGGACAUUUUUUAAAAUAACUUUGCUUGGAUAAGUAAAGAGAAAACGAUUUUCAGUGCCCCAUGCAAUUGGGUUCUGACCCGGAGUCUUGGUCAUAGAACUAUUAAGCUCUACUAGGCAGCUUUGCGGCAGCAGUGCGUCAGACCUGACAUUGACGGGGUCCACUGAAAAUAGUUGAUACUUUGCUUGGAUAAGUCGAGUUGCGAGUCCAAAAUGUGCACUUUAAUAUUGAGCUGGAUUCUUAAUCUUGUUGUUAGUCAUCUCCAUAUAAUACCUUACUGACUAGACACUGGAAAAAGAUUCAUAAAAUGUUUUCGUGAAGUCCACGGACGCAUCUAAAUUAUGACGAUCAAAUACUGGCAUCAUUGUAAAAACGAUAAAGGACAAAGAUAGAAUAUUAAUGGUGGGUCCCGAACAAGACCAGUUUAUCAACCAACUGGCAUCACAAAGUAUCAUAUUACAGGUUUUGCUACCCUAAAUUUAAUCUGUAGGUCGAAGUCGUUAUGGAUAUAAAUAAAACCUACCAAAGCCGUUAGGGACAUAAAUAAGUAAUUGUCCCUCAAUGUUUUAAACAGUAAAAGGACAUUUUUUAAAAUAACUUUGCUUGGAUAAGUAAAGAGAAAACGAUUUUCAGUGCCCCAUGCAAUUGGGUUCUGACCCGGAGUCUUGGUCAUAGAACUAUUAAGCUCUACUAGGCAGCUUUGCGGCAGCAGUGCGUCAGACCUGACAUUGACGGGGUCCACUGAAAAUAGUUGAUACUUUGCUUGGAUAAGUGGAGUUGUGAGUCCAAAAAUGUGCACUUUAAUAUUGAGCUGGAUUCUCAAUCUUGUUGUUAGUCAUCCCCAUAUAAUACCUGACUGACUAGACACUGGAAAAAGAUUCAUAAAAUGUUUUCGUGAAGUCCACGGAUGCAUCUAAAUUAUGACGAUCAAAUAUUGGCAUCAUUGGAAAAACGAUAAAGGAACAAAGAUAAAAUAUUAAUGGUGGGUCCCGAACAAGACUAGUUUAUCAACCAACUGGCAUCACAAAAAUAUACCAGAGCCGUUAGGGAUAUAAAUAAGUAAUUGACCCUCAAUGUUUUAACUAUUAAAAGGACAUUUUUUAAAAUAACUAAAUUAAAUAUAAGUUUUUUGAAUAUAAAUUAUUAAAAAUAGUUAAUACUUUGCUUGGAUAAGUAAAAAGAAAACGAUUUCCAGUCACCCAUGCAAUUGGGUUCUGACCCGGAGUCUUGGUCAUAGAACUAUUAAGCUCUACUAGGCAGCUUUGCGGCAGCAGCGUGUCAAACCUGACAUUGAAUAGGUCCACUGAAAAUAGUUGAUACUUUACUUGUAUAAGUGGAGUCGCGAUUCCAAAAUGUGCACUUUAAUAUUGAACUGGAUUCUCAUUCUUCUUAUUAGUUAUCUUAAAGGAUAAGUAGUUUUGCAGUUUCGGAAAUUGAGUUUGUUGCUCAUAAAAAUUUGCGUUGUUAAAUAGUCCUUUCCAAUGUUCUUUCUUUUGUUAAAACAUUUAGACAAGAUUUUCUAUUUGUAUUCUCGCUGAUACUUAUAAGAGGCGCAAGUCCAUGGUCGCAUCUAGAGUAUGUCUACCCACAAAUGACACCACUGUGGUGUCAAUAAUUUUUAAAGCCACUUAUUCGGUUAGCUUUGGCGCCGAUUACACCAAAUAUGUAUCAACUGUAAUCGUAUACAAAUAUUCGAUUCUUAUUGUUUUAACUAUUAAAGGAAGCAUCACUUAAUAAACACACAUAAAAGUGUUUCACUAAAAGUUUUUUGAAGAUCGCGAGUCUAACAAUGCAUAAACUUUUAAUAUGUGUAAAAUUGUUGGCGUUGAUCGUGACACGUAAUCCGUACAAUGUAGACGUAGUCCUUGUAAGACGUAACAUAGAACGUAUAACGCAAUUAGCAUAUAUGUUCAAUCUUUGGUUCUAAAAUUUUGCGAGUUAAAUUGCUACUUUGAUCGUAAAAUGUAAUCCGUAUAACGCAGAACGUAGUCCGUCAAUCGUAUAACGUAGACCGUAUAACGCAUUAGCAAAGAUACGUAUGACGUCAAACGAAACGCAAAAACGUAGAGCGUAGAACGUAAGUCAUAUCAUGGUUAACGUAGCAAUUCGUUGAAACUUAAUACAUCUUGUAAACCGCAAAUUGCAGAAAUACGUUUAACAUAAAACGCAUCGGUAUCGUUGCAUAAAACGUAAGCCCGUAAGCGUGAAAGGCCACAAUUUUACACACAUUUGAUAUAUUGUUUUGAAAUUAAAUUACUCUUCGAAAUCUGCGUUCUUAAAUACUUAUCUUAAAUAUUCCUUCUUUAGUUAAUACAUUUACAAAAAGUUUUUUGAUGUAUUUAUAGUUGUUUAGGUUUAAGUAGAUUGUAACUUAGUAUAGGAAAUGUAUUUAC